rnacentral:tRNA from 1 species
GGAGAGGUGGCCGAGUGGUUUAAGGCUCCAGUCUUGAAAACUGGCGUAGUGUUUCAACUACCGAGGGUUCGAAUCCCUCCUUCUCCGC